UACCCGGUGGUGUAAUUGGCAGCACUAGGGAUUUUGGCUCCCUUAGUCCAGGUUCGAGUCCUGGCCGGGUAG
rnacentral:tRNA from 1 species